rnacentral:tRNA from 1 species
GUUUCUGUGCUGGAAUGGUAAGACAGUAUCAGGGUAGUAGCUGAUAACCUAUAGGGUGCACGGGUUCGAUUCCCGGCGGAAACA